GUGUCACUAAGUCCAGCUAAUUUUUGUAUUUUUAGUAGAGACAGGGUUUUGCUAUGUUGGCCAGACUGGUCUUGAACUCCUGGCCUCAAGUGAUCUGCCUGCCUCGGCCUCCCAAAGUGUUGGGAUUACAGGUGUGAGCUACUGCGCAUGGCCUAUUUUAUUAUUAGUUAUUGUUGUUAAUCUCUUACUGUGCCUAAAUUAUAAAUUAAAUUUUAUCAUGGAGAAAAACAGUCUAUACCGGGUUCAGUGCUAUCUCAGGUCUCAGGCGUCCACUAGGGAUCUUGGAACGUAUCCCCUGAAGAUAAGGAAGGACCCCACCGCUCCGCUGGAAUUCAAAAUAACCCGCCCACUCCACAGUGAGGUGGCCUGGUGCUGCUGCCCUGGAGAACACCUGGAGGAGAACCAAGACCCCCGAUGAACGGCUCUCAGCCUAGUGUGCAUAUGAGAAUCACACAGGGAGUUCCAACACACACCAACCCCUGUGCCCGACCCAGACCCUGGGAGACCGCUGAGUGCGGGCCACAAGUGCUGGCCCCCAGGGAGUUCUAAUCAUUGGCCAAAGUCGGGGUGAACAGCCGAACUCCUUCUCACCCAUCAAUGCCACUUCAGAUACCACUUCCUCGGCAAGCCUUUCCUGACUUCCUCUAGUGGGGGUAGGUCCCUCAUUCAUUCAUUCGUUCAUUCAUUCAUUCCACAAACCAUCACGCCCCUUGCAUGCACCGGGCCCUGUGCUGGUGCUGGGGAUUCAGCUGUGAGGCCAGGUAAGGUUUUUGCCCUCGUGGUGUUUCUCUGCAGAAACAUGGAGGAAACAAGUGGUGAAAAGUCAGGACAGACGAUGUCAGGGUGUGAUGAAAAUAAAACAGAACGACGAUGAAAAUAAAACAGGACUAAAGAGCAUUAAUUAAUUAGAGACAGGGUCUGACAGUCACAGUCUGACAGAGCCAGGUAUGGUGGCGGGUGCCUGUUGUCUCAGCUACUAGGGAGGAUUACCUGAGCCCAGGAGUUUGAGGCUGCAUCUAAAAAAAAAAAAAGGAGGCAAGAAAUUCGGAUUGUGGACCUUUUGCUUUUUUUUAGAUACUUUUUUUUUUUUUUUUUGAGACGGAGUCUCGCUCUGUCGCCCAGGCGGAGUGGUGGGCGAUGGCUCCUGCGCGUCCGGGUUACGAUUCUGCUCAGCCUCGAGUAGCUGGGACUACAGGCGCCCAACGCGCCGGUAUUUUUUGUAUUUUAGUAGACGGUUUCCGUGGUCUCGAUUCUGACCUUUGUCGCCGCUCAGCUCCAAAGUGCUGGGAUUACAGGCAUGAGCCACGGCGCCCGGCC
rnacentral:lncRNA from 1 species